rnacentral:tRNA from 1 species
UAAGGCCUUAGCUUANAUAAAGUGGCUGAGUUGCAAUUAGUAAAUGUAGGUUUUAGUCCUGCAGGUCUU